rnacentral:rRNA from 1 species
CUCCCGCUUGCGGGGGUGAUUAGUGGCGAACGGGUGAGUAAUACGUGAGUAACCUGCCCUUGACUCUGGGAUAAGCCUGGGAAACCGGGUCUAAUACUGGAUACUACUUCCUGCCGCAUGGUGGGGGGUGGAAAGGGUUUUACUGGUUUUGGAUGGGCUCACGGCCUAUCAGCUUGUUGGUGGGGUAAUGGCUCACCAAGGCGACGACGGGUAGCCGGCCUGAGAGGGUGACCGGCCACACUGGGACUGAGACACGGCCCAGACUCCUACGGGAGGCAGCAGUGGGGAAUAUUGCACAAUGGGCGGAAGCCUGAUGCAGCGACGCCGCGUGAGGGAUGACGGCCUUCGGGUUGUAAACCUCUUUCAGCAGGGAAGAAGCCACAAGUGACGGUACCUGCAGAAGAAGCGCCGGCUAACUACGUGCCAGCAGCCGCGGUAAUACGUAGGGCGCAAGCGUUGUCCGGAAUUAUUGGGCGUAAAGAGCUCGUAGGCGGUUUGUCGCGUCUGCUGUGAAAGCCCGGGGCUCAACCCCGGGUCUGCAGUGGGUACGGGCAGACUAGAGUGCAGUAGGGGAGACUGGAAUUCCUGGUGUAGCGGUGAAAUGCGCAGAUAUCAGGAGGAACACCGAUGGCGAAGGCAGGUCUCUGGGCUGUUACUGACGCUGAGGAGCGAAAGCAUGGGGAGCGAACAGGAUUAGAUACCCUGGUAGUCCAUGCCGUAAACGUUGGGCACUAGGUGU